UCUGCUCUCAAGCAAUCCUCCUGCCUUGGCCUCCCAACGUGCUGGGAUUACAGGCUUGAGCCACUGUGCCUAGCUUUGAGUCUUUUUAAAGUAAGGAGAGGGUAUCAAAGUUCCAGAAAGUUCCAGAAAAUUGAUCUAUCUGCAGUAACUGUCCACGUCGCUGACUCUCUGAGAGGUUCUAAAGAUUUGGCUUUGCUGGUGAGCAACCUACCAGUGCCUUUUUUGAGAUGCCUAUAAUAGCACCACGUGCAGCUUUUGCCAUCGAUUCUUCAAUGCAAGUGUUCAUCCAGACAUGAACAGUGCCAGGCUUUGACAUUUUUAUUCUCGAGGGAGAGAAAGAGAAACAACGAAAUAAACAAAUGAAUAAAUUUAAGAAAUUAUUUUAGAGGCUGAUAUACAACAAAGGGAACAAAGCAGAUGGACACCAGUGGAUUGGCCACAGCGUGGGGGCGUCUCACAGUCCCUGAGAAAUACAGAGGCAGAUCUCAGGUAGCGAUGGACUUAUGCCUACAGGAGAAGGUGAAAAUUCUGUCUACAAGGAGAGCCUGGACUGUCAUUAACCAAGGACGAGAAAUAAUCCAUGACACGCGAGCUUUCAUCACAAAAUAAAAAUGUCAGACUUUAUCUUUGGAACAAAAUAAAUGGUUGAUAAUAUUGUCUUUAGUCAUUUAUUGUAAAAUUUGUUAUCCAUGUAAAAUCUCGGUGUGCUUCCCACUCUCCAAUCCUCUUGAUAUUUAAAACAGGUGAGUAAUUGAUGUCUGAGCUUGGUGUAUUUCCUCCGUAGAUUAUUUGCAUGCUUACAUUUUGAUACUGAAAGAAAUCCUUGAAACCUCAGAAGUUGUAGACUUUGCCUAGAUAAACAUCUGCUGUUUAAUGGUGUUUUGAAUGGCAGAGCUACCGUACGCAGUCUUUAUUCUUUUCUUUUUUAUAGCUGAGUGGGUGGGGAAAUGGGAAACAAUUGUAAAGAAUCAGUCAUCAAACCCCCCUUUCAUCCUUUGCAGAGGUGGAAUUCCCACGCCACGCAGGCCUUCCUCGUGCAGGUACCAUGAGAACCCCAAAAGAGAAGGGACUGCAAAGCGCUUGAGGAAUUCCCAAGCCCUGCACGGGUGCGAGGGGUCACAGAGCGGCAGGCGGGUUUCCUCUACUCACGGCUCACUCGCUCUUCAAUGCUUUCCUUGUUCGGGUCUUUAAAUGUUGCAUCUGCUUUUUGUUUGUUGCUCACCUCCUGGGAACCGUGUACUGGUCAUUUCAUAAACAACCCAAAUGUAAUAAAUGUUUGAAAAAUUAAAUUUGUCAGUCAUUUAUUCAUUUAACCACUAAUCCCUGAGCACUCAGUGUAGACCACACCCUGGGAAUACGAAGGUGAGCAAGAGAGUCCGUCACAGUAUAGACGGCGCCGACGGAGCUCAUGUUCUACUUGUAGAACUGAACACCGAAAGGCACACCAGCAGCUUGCAACGACGACUGUGGCCAGGGAAGGCUGGGGAGCGUGGCGGUUGAGCUGAGUCCUGGAGGGCGAGGACAGGUGUGUGUGGAGGAGCUGGGGAGGACAUGCCAGGCAGAGCUCAGCAAGGGCCCAGGCCUGCGGGGGCGAUGGCAGGCAGGGGACCAAGGUGACUGCAGGGUGGUGGGUCGGAGAGCAAAGGUGUGGGGUCUGGAUCAGACCAGACCAAAUUUCCAGAAGGAAACAUAGUUUGUUCCUAAGAAAAGUGCCCAAAUAGCGCACUCCUGCACUUCCGUGGGAGGGCUGAGUGAGGCCCCCAGAGCCCUUUCUCUGUGGGGGUAGGGGUGAUGGUGGCACACCGGUGCGUGGAAAGGCUGAGUAACUGCCCAAGGAGCACAGUGUCCACAGGUCCCGUUUGCCCGCACCAGCUCUUGGGGUGGCAGGGAGGGUGAGUGACCCAGGGCCUGCUGGUCAGGCCAGGACUUGGCCUGGGGAGGAAGAGAUAUCGCUUCACUCACUUUUCUUCUAACCUCAACAUGUGAAACUCUUCCUGAUCAACCUGGGCCUGCCUGAGCUGUCUUUGACCGCGGGCACCUGGCUUCCCCAGGAGACCUUGGGUUUAUGGGACCAGCAAGCUCUCGCCACCAAAAAGCCCCAGGACAUGACGGUCUCCACCCGUCUGUGAUUCCAGGGCCUCAACUCCCUCCCUCUGAAGAGGCAGAGCUGGAUGACCGGAGGGGCGUUGAGAGGAGACACCUCCAAGCUGCCAGCUCCUAGCUCCACCCUGCCCGAGACCCAGAGACAGCAGAUGAGUCUUCAGAAAGUGAAAAGCGCAGGGGGUGAACUCGACCAGGGGCGGCACGUUUUCCUCACAGAUAGAAAAUGUUUUAGGCUUUAUGGGCCACAGACCUCUAUCUCUAACAUGUUCUUCUUUGUUCUUAAUUGUUUUUAAAACAAUCCUUUAAAAAGUCAAAACGUAUUCUUAGCUUGCAGACCUUACUCUGAAUCUGAAAAGUGGGUUAUAGUUUGUUGACCCACAAUCUAGAUUUUGCUCCCCUAUUUCCAUCUUCCAUUCAGGAAAGGGAAGCUUGGGGACACCAAUUAAUCUCCCCAAAGGCCAUGUGGCUAACCAGGGACAGGGACAGGGUUUGAGCCCAGACAGCCUGAAUCCAGAGUCACUGGUCUUAACCACUACACUACCCUGUCCCCUGCUAGUAACCAGAACCGUGGCUUUGGACAAGCCCAUUUCUAUUUUUGGGGUACAGCCCUCAUCUGUGCAAUAAGCAGGUGGUGUGAUGUUUUCUUCAAUGUGAGAGACAUAUUUGAUGGUAAAUGAAAUAAUUUCCAUGGUUCACACACUGACAUUAAAUAAUAUUGAUGUGCAGAAAGAGAAGUUGAUUGCCUUUCUUUCAAGUCUUCCAAUAAUGUCAGGGAAAAAGGUUUAGUCUGCUGCUAAUAUAUCUUUAACGUCUCUCCAAAGAAUGCUAAUUUCCAUUUUUUGUUAAAUAAGAACAGGCUUCAUAACUCAGUGUCUUCAAUAGGCAAUGAUAUCUUGCAUUGUAGUAUCACCAUUGUAUUCUUAUUGUUACUUCUAUUGUUACUUUCAUGGCUUUAUUUUUUUAUUCUUAUAUUCUAUUUAUGUAAAACGUUAGUGUUGCCAUUGCUGUAAUUCUCUUGUCCAUUUCUUCAUGGUUAUAAGAUUGCUGCUGAAGCUCCUGCCCUCACACCCAAAUUAGAAUAAUGGAGAAAGGCAGGUUUCAGCCACUUUUGUCUCCUAUCACCAGGAAAGCAAAAGAAUUCUACGUAUAAGUUGCAUUGAUCAAAACAUGUCCCAUGGCUACCUAUAUGUAGCUGCAAAAGUGGCUAAAAAAGUGGGUGUUUGUCUGGGUACAUUGAUACCCAAAAUUAAUCAGAGUUCUAUCAUCAAGGAAAGGGCAUAGAUGCUGAGCUCUGCAGCAAUACUGUUUGCCAAGGCUGGAAGGCCUUUGAGAUUUCUCCUUGGCGUCUGCGAAGGGCAAGAAUGGAAGUCAGAGCUGUGGAAUGAUCUGGAGAAUUCAGCAAAAAGUCUGUUUCUCUUUCCCUUGUUGGCUACUAAGACAUGCCCCUUCCCCAUGGUGUAGCAGAACACUGGAAAAACAUCUUCACGCAUAAGGAACGACAUGCAACGAGAAAAACGAUAUUGCCCAAACACUCUGACACUGUGGCGAGGAAAUCUUAUGAAUUUGCCCCCAUUGGCUACUCUGCCUCAAAGUGCUAAGCUAAAGAACUCCCCUCUUUUCAGUUUACUACCUAGGAGAUAUAAUUUCUUACCUGUACACACCUCAAAAUAUGUACCCAAGAAACUUGACUUGGAAUCUUAUAAAAUCCCAGAAAUAGGAAGUUUCUAUUUCAAGAACUACUUUUCAAAUUAAUGUUGUAAUUCAGCAAGCAUUUAGAGAGAGCCCACAAUUCCUGAAUGCUCUACAUGCUGAGAAUACAGGGGUGAGCUAGACUCACAUGGCCCUGGGCACACAUUCUGGUGGAAAAGGCAGAUAAGAACUCAGAGAAGCAGGAGCACGGGAGGGGUAAGAGUGGAACACGGGAGCCAGACUGUUAGGCUGAAGUAUAGAUUCUGCAGCUUCCUGGCAAAUUACUUGUAUCUGCGCCUCAGUUUCUCCAGCUAUAAGAUAAUAAGGAUAAUUAUAGUAUUUACCUCAGGGGGCU